rnacentral:lncRNA from 1 species
GAGUGCUUUAGGACUAAAUUGACAGGCUUUGAAGUUCGUGUAUUGAAGUGUAUAUGGCUGUAUGUAGGGAGAUGAGAAGUGCAAUGUGUGAUUAGGCCUUCUUCUAAUUGAUUUAAAAUGCAAGAGGCCGUGCUUCUAAUUAUGAUUUGAUGGAAAUUGCAGUCACAAGCUCAUUUUCGUUGCAGGUAUAUGAAUACCUGAUUUCUGGUAACCCUUCCAUGGAACCUCAACUGGAACAGAGGGAGGAUCUUCCAAUUCCAUUAGAUAGCGUAUACGCAUAUCUGAGGGGAGAACCGCAAUUCACAAACUGCACACCUGGGUUUACUGGUACUCUUGAUUAUAUACUUUUUUCUCCCAGUGGAAGCAUCAAUCCUAUCAGUUAUCUAGAUCUUCCUGAAGCCGACUCUUCUGAUGUUAAAGGUGGACUCCCAAAUUACUACCAUCCUAGUGAUCAUCUGCCAAUUGGUGCUGACUUCGUGAUUCGUACAAAAUAAAUUAGCAUCAGUACCUGGCAAGAGCACUGUUGAAAACGUUCAGUUACUUCAAUUUCCCAAUUCUUUUCAAUUUUUUUUAUCCUGGUAGAUUGUUUAGUUGGACAAUUUUGCGAGCCCAGAGCAGUUUUGCACACAACCCCAAACCCCACCAUUUUCCUUUAUGUAUGAUUUGAUUUCAACAUAUGUACUCCUUUUUUUUAUUGAAUAUGUACAAAUUAGUUGUUUAUAUUUUACAUAUAAACAUCACUCAGUUAACCUAUACUGAAAUUGAUAUGUGUAGAAAUAUGUUUUUUUUUUUUGGUGUUACAGGAACUGUCAAAGUNUUUGAAGAUAUGUAUGCGUCAGAGAGGUUUAACACUUGCUCAGUCCUUCGCCAGCUACCAAAAUUUCUCUUUUCUGAUCAGCAACAAGCUGAGAGAAUUCUUCCAAUAAUUAAUAACAUUUCCUCCAAAAACGGUGUUCGUCAUACGAAGACUGUCUGAAAAUCUCGGCGUAACAUCCUUUAAUGACAAUACGACACACAGAAAAUUCUUUAGGUCUUCAAAAUUGGACAUCCUCAGAUUAAUAUCGAAUCCACUACCGGGAAACUUGAUUAUAUGUAUCCUGAGUUUUUGAAAUUGGUACUGAUGUAUUAAAAUUGGCCAGCAAGGUCUGGAGUCUGGCAAAAUGUAAAGACAAAGGCAGAGAGGAGUUUCAGUAAUUCUAUGUUUACCCUUUCGAAGUAAAGUUGAUUCUCAUUUUGGAUGAAAAUUUGUCCUUGGGUACAAAGUGACCCAAUUUUGAGUGCUUUAGGACUAAAUUGACAGGCUUUGAAGUUCGUGUAUUGAAGUGUAUAUGGCUGUAUGUAGGGAGAUGAGAAGUGCAAUGUGUGAUUAGGCCUUCUUCUAAUUGAUUUAAAAUGCAAGAGGCCGUGCUUCUAAUUAUGAUUUGAUGGAAAUUGCAGUCACAAGCUCAUUUUCGUUGCAGGUAUAUGAAUACCUGAUUUCUGGUAACCCUUCCAUGGAACCUCAACUGGAACAGAGGGAGGAUCUUCCAAUUCCAUUAGAUAGCGUAUACGCAUAUCUGAGGGGAGAACCGCAAUUCACAAACUGCACACCUGGGUUUACUGGUACUCUUGAUUAUAUACUUUUUUCUCCCAGUGGAAGCAUCAAUCCUAUCAGUUAUCUAGAUCUUCCUGAAGCCGACUCUUCUGAUGUUAAAGGUGGACUCCCAAAUUACUACCAUCCUAGUGAUCAUCUGCCAAUU